GAUGAACGCUGGCGGCGUGCCUAAUACAUGCAAGUCGAGCGAAGCGGGGACGGGUGAGUAACACGUGGAUAACCUCCUAUAAGACUGGGGUAACUUCGGGAAACCGGAGCUAAACCGGAUGCUGAUAGAUGGAGCCGCGCUGCAGUAGCUAGUUGGUAAGGUAACGGCUUACCAAGGCAACGAUGCAUAGCCGACCUGAGGGGUGGACCGGCCACACUGGAACUGAGACACGGUCCAGACUCCUACGGGAGGCAGCAGUGGGGAAUCUUCCGCAAUGGGCGCAAGCCUGACGGAGUAACGCCGCGUGAGUGAUGAAGGUCUUCGGAUCGUAAAACUCUGUUAUUAGGGAAGCGGUACCUAAUCAGAAAGCCACGGCUAACUACGUGCCAGCAGCCGCGGUAAUAC
rnacentral:rRNA from 1 species